rnacentral:rRNA from 1 species
UUUGCUGACGAGUGGCGGACGGGUGAGUAAUGUCUGGGAAACUGCCUGAUGGAGGGGGAUAACUACUGGAAACGGUAGCUAAUACCGCAUAACGUCGCAAGACCAAAGAGGGGGACCUUCGGGCCUCUUGCCAUCGGAUGUGCCCAGAUGGGAUUAGCUUGUUGGUGGGGUAACGGCUCACCAAGGCGACGAUCCCUAGCUGGUCUGAGAGGAUGACCAGCCACACUGGAACUGAGACACGGUCCAGACUCCUACGGGAGGCAGCAGUGGGGAAUAUUGCACAAUGGGCGCAAGCCUGAUGCAGCCAUGCCGCGUGUAUGAAGAAGGCCUUCGGGUUGUAAAGUACUUUCAGCGGGGAGGAAGGGAGUAAAGUUAAUACCUUUGCUCAUUGACGUUACCCGCAGAAGAAGCACCGGCUAACUCCGUGCCAGCAGCCGCGGUAAUACGGAGGGUGCAAGCGUUAAUCGGAAUUACUGGGCGUAAAGCGCACGCAGGCGGUUUGUUAAGUCAGAUGUGAAAUCCCCGGGCUCAACCUGGGAACUGCAUCUGAUACUGGCAAGCUUGAGUCUCGUAGAGGGGGGUAGAAUUCCAGGUGUAGCGGUGAAAUGCGUAGAGAUCUGGAGGAAUACCGGUGGCGAAGGCGGCCCCCUGGACGAAGACUGACGCUCAGGUGCGAAAGCGUGGGGAGCAAACAGGAUUAGAUACCCUGGUAGUCCACGCCGUAAACGAUGUCGACUUGGAGGUUGUGCCCUUGAGGCGUGGCUUCCGGAGCUAACGCGUUAAGUCGACCGCCUGGGGAGUACGGCCGCAAGGUUAAAACUCAAAUGAAUUGACGGGGGCCCGCACAAGCGGUGGAGCAUGUGGUUUAAUUCGAUGCAACGCGAAGAACCUUACCUGGUCUUGACAUCCACGGAAGUUUUCAGAGAUGAGAAUGUGCCUUCGGGAACUGUGAGACAGGUGCUGCAUGGCUGUCGUCAGCUCGUGUUGUGAAAUGUUGGGUUAAGUCCCGCAACGAGCGCAACCCUUAUCCUUUGUUGCCAGCGGUCCGGCCGGGAACUCAAAGGAGACUGCCAGUGAUAAACUGGAGGAAGGUGGGGAUGACGUCAAGUCAUCAUGGCCCUUACGACCAGGGCUACACACGUGCUACAAUGGCGCAUACAAAGAGAAGCGACCUCGCGAGAGCAAGCGGACCUCAUAAAGUGCGUCGUAGUCCGGAUUGGAGUCUGCAACUCGACUCCAUGAAGUCGGAAUCGCUAGUAAUCGUGGAUCAGAAUGCCACGGUGAAUACGUUCCCGGGCCUUGUACACACCGCCCGUCACACCAUGGGAGUGGGUUGCAAAAGAAGUAGGUAGCUUAACCUUCGGGAGGGCGCUUACCACUUUGUGAUUCAUGACUGGGGUGAAGUCGUAACAAGGUAACCGUAGGGGAACCUGCGGUUGGAUCACCUCCUUACCUUAAAGAAGC